rnacentral:rRNA from 1 species
AUUGAACGCUGGCGGCAGGCCUAACACAUGCAAGUCGAACGAGUGGCGGACGGGUGAGUAAUGUCUGGGAAACUGCCUGAUGGAGGGGGAUAACUACUGGAAACGGUAGCUAAUACCGCAUACCAUCGGAUGUGCCCAGAUGGGAUUAGCUAGUGGGUGGGGUAAAGGCCUACCCAGGCGAAGAUCCCUAGCUGGUCUGCGGGGAUGACCAGCCACACUGGAACUGUGACACGGUCCAAAUUCCUACGGAAGGCAGCAGUGGGGAAUAUUGCACAAUGGGCGCAAGCCUAAUGCAGCCAUGCCGCGUGUAUGAAGAAGUCCUUCGGGUUGUAAAGUACUUUCAGCGGGGAGGCGUUACCCGCAGAAGAAGCACCGGCUAACUCCGUGCCAGCAGCCGCGGUAAUUC